rnacentral:hammerhead_ribozyme from 1 species
AUCCAGUCAACGAGUCCUACAUAGGACGAAACACGCGUUCUGAAU